rnacentral:rRNA from 1 species
UGAUCCUGCCAGCAGUCAUACGCUUGCUUCAAGGAUUAAGCCAUGCAAGUGCUGAGUAAAUGGACUUACAGUUGAUCUGCGAACGGCUCAUUAUACCAGUCGUAAUCUGCCCGGAUAAGUGGCUUAGCCAUCGAGUGGAUACCUUCACCAACCGUGAAGCUAAUACAUGGACGACAGAUUGGUACUCCGUCCAAGCAGCAAGGGGAAACCUGAGUUGUGGAGUAUCGAUGCUACUGGUCGGGAACAGAAACUAACCCGUUUCAUCGCGGAGUCUUCGUGGAAACAGACCACUGAGCGCAAGAGUUCCUUCUUGGAACCGUGUCUGGUUGAACGACUGACCUAUCAGCUUGACUGUAGUGUAGUGGACUACAGUGGCUUUUACGGGUAACAGAGGAUCAGGGUUCGACUCUGGAGAGGGAGCCUGAGAAACGGCUACCAUGUCUAAGGACAGCAGCAGGCGCGCAAAUUGCCCAAUGCUAACACGAGCGAGGCAGCGACGAGAAGUAUUUACUUCGUUACACUUUGUUGUGACCUGGAUAGAAAUGGAUGGUAUGCAAAACCACCACUGAGGAUCGAUCGGAGGGCAAGUC